UGCCCGGUGAUGAGCCCCAUCCUUGCUCUCCGGGGCCCCCGGCCAUCGAGCCGGGGGCGUGGGUGACACCCUGGCAGCCCCGGGCCGGGCCAGUGAGGCUGGUGCCUGGGGGCUGAGGGCC